UCCCUGGUGGUCCAGUGGUUAGGACUUGGCAUUUUUCACUGCCUGGGUCCAGGUUCAAUCCCUGGUUGGGGAA
rnacentral:tRNA from 1 species